rnacentral:rRNA from 1 species
UACAGAGGUCCCGAGCGUUGUUCGGAUUCAUUGGGCGUAAAGGGUGCGUAGGCGGCUGGGCAAGUCUGAUGUGAAAUCCCGGGGCUCAACCCCGGAACUGCAUUGGAUACUGCCUUGCUUGAGUACUGGAGAGGGAACUGGAAUUUACGGUGUAGCAGUGAAAUGCGUAGAGAUCGUAAGGAAGGCCAGUGGCGAAGGCGAGUUCCUGGACAGUUACUGACGCUGAGGCACGAAGGCCAGGGGAGCAAACGGG